rnacentral:rRNA from 1 species
AUACCCCAUAGGCCGAGAGGUUAAAGGCAGCGAUGCGCGGCAGGAGGAGCUCGUGUCCUAUCAGCUGGUUGGUGAGGUAACGGCUCACCAAGGCUUCGACGGGUAGCCGGCCUGAGAGGGUGACCGGCCACACUGGAACUGAGAAACGGUCCAGACUCCUACGGGAGGCAGCAGUGGGGAAUAUUGGGCAAUGGGAGGAAUCCUGACCCAGCGACGCCGCGUGAACGAAGACGGCCUUCGGGUUGUAAAGUUCUUUUAUGUGGGAAGAAGGAAGUGACGGUACCACAUGAAUAAGCCCCGGCUAACUACGUGCCAGCAGCCGCGGUAAUACGUAGGGGGCGAGCGUUGUCCGGAAUUACUGGGCGUAAAGGGCACGCAGGCUGUGCUUCAAGUCAGCUGUAAAAGGAUGCGGCUUAACCGUGUUAUGCGGCUGAGACUGAGGUGCUGGAGUACCGGAGAGGCAAGUGGAAUUCCCAGUGUAGCGGUGAAAUGCGUAGAUAUUGGGAAGAACAUCGGUGGCGAAGGCGACUUGCUGGACGGUAACUGACGCUGAGGUGCGAAAGCCAGGGUAGCGAACGGGAUUAGAUACCCCGGUAGUCCUGGCUGUAAACGAUGAAUGCUAGGUGUGCGAGCAGAGAUGUUGGCGUGC